AAUGAGCUGCGAGGCGUUCAAGAGCUACUGGGGUUUUCGCAACACUUAGGUUGGAAAACGUUACGUUGUCUUGUGGCUGUUUGUGUUGUUGGGAGCUCUUUUUUUUUUUUUUUUUUUUUUUAGCCGUCUUGAACUUGUUUUCAUCGCGGGCCACUUCAUAUGGUUGUCCUCGGGAGGACGGUUAUAACGGCAAAACCACAUCACUUUUCGAUGUCAAUCUUUUUCAAAUGUUCAAUGGAGAAGUUUGUGCAUGAAUGCCCAUGCACUGACGACGCCGAAAUAAGUCCAUCGAAGAAGCUGAAACGGGGGGAAGGAGGAAGCUGACCACCUUUUCCAAAAGCUGGAGGAGGAGGUGAUCUACUCAACAGGGGAAGAAGCAAAGGCGCAGGUGUAUGACAUACCCAGGAAACAGGCAACAUAUGGAGGGAGAUACAGGAUUAACAUACACUGAUUCUGGAGUGACACGUUUAGCCUGCCCAUGGACACCCACUGUUAAAUAUAUUCUAGAAGUUAUCAUUUAUUUGCUUAGCUUGCAUUAGUAUUAUGGACGAUUUUAGAUGUCUCGCCUUCGAAAAGAUGACUCAGCAUCAUCCGAUGGAAGGGCGCCUGGACCAAGGACGUGAUCGGAUGUGGUCGGGUCGGGACAAGUGUUGGUCCAAUAUUUUGUGUCGUGUCUUAUUGCUUAGAAUACUAUGUCUGGGAAAAACCCUCUUAUUAUCAAAUAUUAUGUGUCGUGUCUUAUUGUUUAGAAUACUAUGUCUGGGGAAAACCCUCUUAUUAUCCAAUAUUUUGUGUUGUGUCUUAUUGCUUAGAACAUUAUGAUUUGUAAAUCCCUCCUAUUUCAAAUAAAUGCAGGAGCGAGGGGGGGGGGGGGACUGUGAUCUGAACAAUCUCCCAUACGCCCUCCUCAUGAGAAAAAGAAACCAGCGUCUUCAUUCCUUUUGUGUCUAUUUUUUAUAAUGUUGGGUAAGAGAAAUCCAACACCCACCCUGCAAUCUAUUCGGGAUUCUGUCACCAAAAUAACAGGACACGCGUUCAAUUUUGUCCUGAUCAACAGGUAGGAAAUAUAGCACGAACGCGAUGGA